UCCCUUCCUUCUUCCCAGCUUUCUUUCAAGAAGGGAAAGCUUUCUCUGUCACCUGCUGCUACUGCCUCUAUGAUGGUCCACUUUUCCAUGUCCCCCAUGCGAAUGGAACAAAGGGAUCCAAACCCUUCUGACCAUGAGCCAAAGGACUCCUUCAACUUGGCAUCUCCAGCUGGAGCACAGGCGCUCUGCCCACAGCUGCCAGAGUGCUGGGGUGCUCCAGAACCCCUUGGUUACUUCAUGGUCCCUGCCAACAAGGUUCCCACCUCCUCCUCAGUUCUUGCCUGAUUGUCGCUGCUUGAAACAACAACCUGCUAAAGUAACAGUUGGCUACGAGGUGUGGUGUGGCACACAGCCAUGGUUCCAGGGCUCAAGGGAUGGAGGAGAAGCAGGAGGACCACGGAUUUGAAACUACCCUGGUUUAAACUUCAGACUAAGUUCCAAGAGAGCCAGAGUGACAGUUAAACAGUAGCUCGGAAAACAAGGUCGACACAGCACCUCCGAGGUCCUUCUUGGAAAACUGAACAACAUUGUGAAGGGAUUUCAAAGCGGAGGCUAUAAAGGAGCCAAUCAGGACAACUCAAAUUUAUAAUUCCAGAAUUCUGGAGGCAGAGACAAGACAGGAGUCCAAGGCUAGCCUGGGCUUCUAAAUGAAUUCCAAGCCAUCUUGGACCACAGAGAGUGGAGAGCCUGUUUUACAGAGCCAAAGCUCAAAACUAAGAGUAUAAAGAAACACCUUUUUUUUUUUUUUUUUUUGGAUUUGGUUUUUUCAAGACAGGGUUUCUCUGUAUCGCUCUGACUGUCCUGGAACUCACUCUGUAGACCAGGCUGGCCUCCAACUCAGAAAUCCACCUACAACCACCGCCUGGCAAGAAACAAGUUUAAAGAUACAAAGUCGUUACGAAGUCUCCGGGGUGGGCACUACCAAUGUUUUUGGGUACAGUAAAAGGAUUUUAGUCGCUUGGGAUAACAACAUUAUGUUUUGAGGCAGUCUUCUGUGGUCUCAGCUGGCUUCAAAGUCAGUUUAAGGCUUAGGAGGGCCUACCCUGGGCUACAUGAUCCUUUCAGUCCGUGAGGUUUUAAAAGCAUGCCCCUUCCCAAUCAUCUUUAAUCCCUUUUACAUUAGUCUCUGUAUAUGUUGGUCUGCAAAAUAUCGGACAGCCAGGUAGGAACAGUCAUGAACCAGUCACUCUAAAAAAAAAUUCAUCCAGGAUGAAGUGGGAGGAUCUGGGGUUUCAAGGCAGCUUGGGAUACAACCAAAGGCUGUGUCUCAAAUAAUUAAAUACAUAAAAGCAUGAUUCAGAAGUAAACUUCGAAAGCGCGGCAAGACCCUAGCAGGCUGUGUGCCCGGAUACAGCCUCUUUUCCAGAAGCAACUUCGCAUCCUUAAAGUUCACUCUUCGCCACGAAAUUCCUUUGGAGUCAAACCAGUUGCUGAGAACUUUCUCUUCCUGGGGAAGCCGGGCUUUAAACUGAAAUAUGCCACGUUUUCUAUAGAAUCACUUCCCACGCAGACUCACGAAAAGUCUUCGACAUGCACUUAGACCUCUAAAUGGCCACGCAAGCCCGGGAAGCGCUUCUGCGCAAGGGCCUUCGUCACCAAUGCGUCUGCGCGCAGCAGCACAGACUGUGGCGCAAAGACCUAAUGGGCGGGUCCGCCUACUCACGUGACUCCUCAACCAAUGCCUGCGUCUGCAAAAGUGGGGCUGCGUUGCUAGGUGACUGUGGCCCAAGUGGAUGCUGCGGAAGUAAGGAUCCAGCCUCAACCCUGCGGAGUGCAGCUUCUCCGAGCUGCUGCUCUUCCCUUCUGUCUCGGAACCCACGCGUCUCCCCCGACGCGGUCUGGAAAGCUCUGGAUCCUGAAAGAUGCAGCUGGGGUGUGUCUGGCUUGCACCCAGUUAGGGACUUUUCUGCUUUAGAGAAAGGGUCGGAUCCCGCCUACUGCAGGGAUGCAGCCGAGUCCUGGGCAUAGCUUCCCAAAGCUUCCCUGCGGCUUUGGUCAGGACUGGUUGCUCACUCUUGUCCAAAUCAGGUUUUGUCAUGAAUGGUUGUUCGGAAGGAUAACUAGUUCAAGGAUAGUAAUUCGACUUAAAAUGACAAGAGCGAAAGUACUGAGGGUGUGGCUCAGCGAUAGAAUGCUUGCCUAGAAUUGUCUAGGUCCCUAGGUUGGAUCUCCAGCAACAGCAAAAGACUUGCAGACGGAAGAAGUGCAGAUACUUUUUGAAAAAGUAAUUUUUGCACCUUUCGAGACAAGCUCUGGGAUUACAGGCAUGUUCCAACAUGCCAAGUGCAGCAGAUAGAAUCCCGGCCUUCAAUUCUUGGACUUCAGUGCUCCUCCUUGAAGGCUGAGAGGUGCUUGCCUGGCAUACAAGAAGGCCCUGGGUCCGAUCCCUAGAAGAUCAUGAACUGGACAUUAUCUGUAAGUUUACUACUCUGUGGGUCUCAGUAGACAGUGAAGGCAAACUCUGCUACAUAGCCCGUUUAGGACCACCCGGCGUUAUAUAAGGUUCUCUCUCAAAAAACCAACAAGCAGGUUGUGAUGGUUAUAGGCCCUUAAUCUGAGUACUCCAGAGGCAGAGGCAGGCUGAUCUCUGUGAGCUGGAGGCCAGCCACAGGAAGUUGGAGGAUAACCAGAACUAUGUAAAGAGACCUUAUUUCAAGAACACAAAAGUAGCCAGGCAGUGGCGGUGCAUACCUUUAAUCCCGGCACUUGGGAGGCAGAUGCAGGUGGAUUUCUGAGGCCAGUCUGGUCUACAGAGUGAGUUCCAGGACAUCCAGGGCUACACAGAGAAACCCUGUCUUGAAACACAAACAAGCAAACAAAAACCACAAAGGUAUAACAAAACCUCAAACUAAUGGGGGGCUGGAGAGAGAGCUCAGCGAUUUCUUAAUUGCUGCAGAAAACACUUGCUGUUUCUACAGAGGACCUAGGUUCAGUUCCCAGCACCUACAUCAGGUGACCCUCUGGCCUUCAAGGGCACCUUCAUGCACAUGGGACACCUAAACUCAAUACAUGUAUAAAUGCAAAAUUUAAAAACAUAAUAGCCAGGUGGUGGUGACACAUGCCUUUAAUUCAAGUACUUGGGAGGCAGAGGCAGGUGGAUCUCUGAGUUCAAGGCCAGCCUCGUCUUCAGAGUGAGUUCCAGGACAUUCAAGGCUACACAGAGAAACCCUGUCUUGACGCAACCCCCACCCCAGUUCAAUAUCAGGCCCCUAAGUAGCUGGGACUAAUGGUUUUCUCCCAGAUAGAUACUUAAUACUAAAAGAGAAUCCUUUAUAGAUCUUGGAUGGCUUCUCUCUGUGUGUCUGUGUACAACUCUCUCUUCCCUGGCCUUUUGCCCUUUGAACUGGAGCUGCCCUUUUCUGUCUGGACUCUUAGUUUUCUGUCUAAGGCAGUGGUUCUAAACCUUCCUAAUACUGUGCCCCUUUAAUACAGUUCCUCACGUUAUAGUGACCCUCAGCCAUGAGAUUGUGUUUUUUGCUACUUCAUGGCUGUAGUUUUGCUACUGUUAUGAAUUGUAAUGUAAAUAUCUGAUAUGUAGGAUAUCUGCUAUGCGAUCCCACAAGGGAGAUGCCACCCCACAGGUUGAGAACCAGGGAUCUAAGGCAGUCCAUUGAACUUGGCCUCAGUUUUCCUUCUCUGAAUUUCUAUUCUGGAAACCCUGAAAAUGGGGAACUGGGGCAAUGGCACAGAUCCUCUUAUUUGCCCAUUUCCCAAAUGUUCCUGUCCUUUGUGGCCUGACCAUAUUUGGUUGUUCUAGGCAAAAAAACAAAACAAAACAAAAAAACAAAAAGCAAAUCAACA